UACGUAGGAGGCGAGCGUUGUCCGGAUUUACUGGGCGUAAAGGGCGCGCAGGCGGCACUCUAAGUACGAUGUGAAAUCUCCCUGCUCAACGGGGAGGGCGCAUUGUAAACUGGGGAGCUAGAGGACGGUAGAGGGGGGUAGAAUUGCUGGUGUAGCGGUGAAAUGCGUAGAGAUCAGCAGGAAUACCCGUGGCGAAGGCGGCCCCCUGGGCCGAACCUGACGCUGAGGCGCGAAGGCUAGGGGAGCGAACGGG
rnacentral:rRNA from 1 species